UGCCUUGAACAAAACAGUUGCAGUCCA
rnacentral:misc_RNA from 1 species